rnacentral:rRNA from 1 species
UACGUAGGUGGCAAGCGUUGUCCGGAUUUACUGGGCGUAAAGAGCGCGCAGGCGGUCGAUCAAGUCGCGUGUGAAAGCCCCCGGCUCAACUGGGGAGGGUCACGCGAUACUGAUCGACUCGAAGGCAGGAGAGGGUAGUGGAAUUCCCGGUGUAGUGGUGGAAAUGCGUAGAUAUCGGGAGGAACACCAGUGGCGAAGGCGACUACCUGGCCUGUUUCUUGGCGCUGAGGCGCGAAAGCUAGGGGAGCAAACAGGGAU